GAGGUUCUAGUCCAACAAGGACAUGCCGCUGUUGACGGUAAGGUGAGGGAGUUUAGGCCUCGUAUCUCU
rnacentral:tRNA from 1 species